UGAUAGCUGUAGGCACUUCUUGUGCAUCAUUGGAGUUAUUAGCUCUAUAUAGUUUCCAGAGAUUCACAGAUAAGGGUUUACGUGCCAUUGGGAAUGGAUGUAAGAAGCUAAAAGAUCUCACUCUAAGUGACUGCUAUUUCCUAAGUGACAAGGGUUUGGAAGCUAUUGCCAUUGGUUGCAAGCAACUUACUCAUCUUACAGUUAGUGGGUGCCACAAUAUUGGUACUCUGGGACUGGAAUUCAUUGGGAAAUCUUGCUUAUGUUGAGCUUAUCUGAGAUCACAGAGAAAGUGAAUGACAGGUGGGAUCGUCAUCUUACAGAACAAGGAUCUUAAGAAAACAGAGUAUUUG